UACGUAGGGAGCAAGCGUUGUCCGGAAUCAUUGGGCGUAAAGCGCGCGUAGGCGGCCCCAUAAGUCCGCUGUGAAAGUCAAAGGCUCAACCUUUGAAAGCCGGUGGAUACUGGUGGGGCUAGAGUACGGAAGAGGCGAGUGGAAUUCCUGGUGUAGCGGUGGAAUGCGCAGAUAUCAGGAGGAACACCGAUGGCGAAGGCAGGUCUCUGGGCCAUUACUGACACUGAGAAGCGAAAGCAUGGGGAGCGAACAGG
rnacentral:rRNA from 1 species